UAGAGAUUGAGAGUGAGUCAGAGGCAUGGGCAACAUGCAGGGGCAGUGGAGACAGCUCUGUUGCUGAGGUGUCCCUAAUUGCUGGCUAAUUGGGAACCCACGGGAUUGGUUGGGCAGCGCAUAAAAUCCACUGUGUCCUCCCAACGGGAGAGCUUUUGGAGAGCUGCUUCGGACGACGAAAAGAUUCCGGGGCCCGCGCCAGACGACGAAAAACUAGUCAUCGACGACGAACGAAGAGUGAGAUCCCUGGUUGGUGGCAGGCGCCCCUGAAGGACUCUACUACAAACCUCCACGUAGUGGGACAACAGCAACCGUUCGAGCAACGAUCGAGCAGAAGGACAAAUACAACGCACUCAACGAAACAACGUCAAGGAAACGCUAGAGAACACUGGUAUCAUGAGCACCGCCAAGAGACAUACAACGCCCUCUAUUUCUGCAGCAAAGUUCUGUGGGAAACGUACCCACGCCACCGCUGUGAAAGGACAGUUUUGGUGGAACUGCGGUGCGCUUGCGGCUGCGUUACACUGGAGCCCUGAGUCAUCAGCUGGGUCGUGAGUGUUGUCUGGACUGGUGGCAUAGAUGGACGAAUCCUCUCCUAAGUGCUCUACUUUUAAUUACUUGUAUAUGAAUCUGUAUUUUAUGCUAUUGUCGUGAGGGACUAGGGGUUAUGAGCCUAUCGCCGUUUUGCGGCAUACAUUUAUGGUGCACGAUUAUGUUUUGCAGUGUUGUGGGUUUUGCUGUGAAAUUGCUGUGGGUUUUGCUGUGAACUUGCUGUGAAUUGCUGUGGAUUUGCUAACAUUAGCUUUUGGCACCAGGUGCGGAGCUGCGAUUUGCUCAUGACUAGGUCUUCUGUUGUUUUAGAACUGGAUAUUAAUAAAGUUGUAUUUUUGUAAACUA